UACGGGGGGGGCAAGCGUUGUUCGGAAUUACUGGGCGUAAAGGGCUCGUAGGCGGCCAACUAAGUCAGACGUGAAAUCCCUCGGCUUAACCGGGGAAUGGCGUCUGAUACUGGAUGGCUUGAAUCCGGGAGAGGGAUGCGGAAUUCCAGGUGUAGCGGUGAAAUGCGUAGAUAUCUGGAGGAACACCGGUGGCGAAGGCGGCAUCCUGGACCGGCAUUGACGCUGAGGAGCGAAAGCCAGGGGAGCAAAGCGGG
rnacentral:rRNA from 1 species